rfam:Lactobacillus cacaonum DSM 21116 NODE_22, whole genome shotgun sequence.
GGGGAUGUUUUGGAUUCGACAGGUAUAGGUCGAGCUUAGACUGCGUUUCGUAGUUGCGUGACGUAAAGACGCUCAGUUAAAUAUAACUGCAAAAAAUAAUAACAAUUCUUACGCUUUAGCUGCCUAAGCGCGCUUUAGUGUAGAUCUGCCCAAUAUCGUCCAUGUAUUGGUAGCAGGUCUUAAAUUAAGUGGACUUACGCUGAAGACUCCCAUCUGAAGUUGACAGAAGAGAUUAAUCAGAUUAGUCAUUAAUGUUAGCCAAGUCGUAUGGCGCGAUUAAUGAUGAAAUUUAAAUGAUACGACUAUGAACGUAGAUGUUUAAGUGGCGAUAUGCUUGGACGCGGGUUCGAUCCCCGCCAUCUCCAUUU